rnacentral:tRNA from 1 species
GGCCCCAUCGUCUAGCCUGGCUUAGGACACCACCCUUUCAAGGUGGCUACAGGGGUUCAAAUCCCCUUGGGGUCA